rnacentral:misc_RNA from 1 species
UUGGGAUAAAGGUUUAGUUGUUGUUAUGUUAUUGUUGAUUCAACCUAAAAUAUGGCACCAAACAUCUCUUUUGAUGAAACAUGUAUAGAUAUGGAUAAAAACAAUUAGUUUUUAAAGAAAAUUUUCCCUAUAAUUAAGGACUGCUUAACUUGGAUUAUUUUGUAAUUAUAUAAUUCUUUUUAGAAAUUGGAAUCCAUAAGGAAUUUGAGAAUUCUUUUAAUGAUAUAAAUUAUUGUUAUACUAAAAAAUAGGAUUAGGGACGGUAAUUCAAGUUGACGGAUUGUGUUCGUGUUGUGUCAAUACAUAAUGAGAAUAAUAUUAGGAUCGACACAAACAUAAUACAAUUUAAUGAACCGUGUCAAGAAUUUAAACAUAAGCACACCCCUUUUAUUGUAUGGGUUAUAUGAUAUAACACACAUAAUAUAAUUAAUAUUAAAUCGUGUCUGGUUAAUUUGACAUGACUCGAUCGAUUUAAUACGCUUAGACACAAUUCAAUUCAUUUAACAUGUUGCACAACUUAACUUGUUUGACACGUUUUGAUAUGAUUCAACACUUUUAAUUUUCAUAAAAUAAUAUAUAAUAUGAAAUUUACACAUUAAUUUUAAUUAUAU